CCUACGGGCGGCUGCAGUGAGGAAUAUUGGUCAAUGGACGGAAGUCUGAACCAGCCAUGCCGCGUGCAGGAAGACGGCACUAUGAGUUGUAAACUGCUUUUGUACAAGGGUAAACCUGAAUACGUGUAUUCAGCUGACAGUACUGUACGACGAAGGAUCGGCUAACUCCGUGCCAGCAGCCGCGGUAAUACGGAGGAUCCAAGCGUUAUCCGGAUUUAUUGGGUUUAAGGGGGGCGUAGUCGGAUUGAUAAGUUAGAGGUGAAAUGUCCGGGCUUAACUCGGGAACUGCCUCUAAUACUGUUGAUCUAGAGAGUAGGUGCGGAAGGCGGAAUGUAUGGUGUAGCGGUGGAAUGCUUAGAGAUCAGACAGAACACCAAUUGCGAAGGCAGCUAACCAAUCUAUAUCUGACGUUGAGGCACGAAAGCGUGGGGAGCAAACAGGAUUAGAUACCCGAGUAGUC
rnacentral:rRNA from 1 species